CACCAUUUGUCUGUGAGCAGCCAUGCUGUGGCAGCAGCUCACAUAAAAGAACUAGAAGAGCUUACAACUAUGUACUUGGUCUUUGGGGAGGAAACAAAAAAAGAGAAGAAGAUUGGCAACAGAUGCUAGCUCAGGAUAAUGACCAUCUCUGAACAUGCGUGAGGAACGGGAGAAGGUAGAACAAGCCUACCAUACAGGAGCAGGAUCUGGUGAAGAUGUCAAGGUGUACCGGAUAAGAUCUAGCAACGUUGGAAACUCUGGACUUAAAGCACAUCCUACACCGCACAGAUCUAAACUGCGGCGGAGCGCUGCCUUCAACAAUGUGGCAGGGAGAGAGAAGGAGGCAGGUGCAGGCUGCCGAAACAGGACGUCCCAGGAUGAAAAUCCCAUAUAUGAGUCUGCUUUAUAAAUGCUUGGUCUGUGUUUUUCCAAAAACUGUGUGGAAAUAUUCAAGGUAAACAAACAGUUUCUAUUCAAAAAGCAAAUCUUACAAAAAUUAGAUUAGAAGAAAGACUUGCUAUGAAAAAAUCUCCAUAAAAAGCAUAUGGAUCUAAAAGAAGUAGGUUUGUGUGAAGCCAGCGGCCAGUCCCAUUCUAUACUUGAUACAAAUUUUCCAAAAUUUCUAGGGAGUCUGUAAAAGUAUUUCAGGACAUAAACUUUUGGUUGGAGAUGUAAGUCCCC
rnacentral:lncRNA from 1 species